UUGACAGCACUGCAUAUUGAAGUCUUCUGUUUAUUCACAGAACAGGUACAGUCGGGGCAGCAAUACUGCUGGCUUCUUAGAGCAAGCCUGCCUAUAGGCCUUGCCCUCAAUACAAACCUGAAGGGCCAGCUUCCAAGGGUAAGAAGUAAUGUAUAUGCCAUGGCCUUUUUCCGCAUUUAAAGUAA
ensembl:misc_RNA